UUUUUUUAUCCAAAAGAAAACUUAUUCAAAAAAAUGUACCCAGAAGACACAGCCUAAGGAAUACAAGCAGGAAACUGAGAAAACUGCCAACAACAGCUAAAGGGACACAAACAGGAAAAUCACAGUGCCUUCUGGGUAUAUCAGAACCUACCUGAAAUUCACAAACUCUAAACAAUGAAUGCUCAACUCUGUUGUAUGAAGUAGCCACAAUUACCAACCUUCCUGCACAAAUCAAACAAGAGAUACCUUAAAAUAGGAAUGAUGCUGAAACUCUACAGCUUUUGUGUGAAACACAUAGAAGAAGAAAG
rnacentral:sRNA from 1 species